rnacentral:rRNA from 1 species
GACGAACGCUGGCGGCGUGCUUAACACAUGCAAGUCGAACGGAAAGGGCCUGUUUUUGUGGGGUGCUCGAGUGGCGAACGGGUGAGUAACAUGUGAGUAACCUGCCCGUGACGGUUGUAUAACUUCAAGAAACUGGGGUUAACACCGGAUAGGAGGUCCGGCUGCAUGGUGGGGGUUGGAAAGUUUCGGCCGUUGGAGAUGGCGUCGCGGCUGAUCAGCUCCUUGGUGGGGUAGUCGCUUACCAAGGCUGUGACGGGUAGCCGGCAUGAGAGCGUGACCGGCCACAUUGGUACUGAGGUACGGCCCAGACUCCUACAGGAGACAGCAGUGGGGAAUAUUGCACAGUGGGCCGGAGCCUGUUGCAGCAACCUCGCGUGCGGGAUGACGGCCUUCGGGUUUGAAACCGCUUUCGCCUAUGACGAUGCGUGAGUGACGGUAAUGGCUAAAGAAGCACCGGCUAACUACGUG